AGACCCGAAACCCGGUGAUCUAGCCAUGGGCAGGUUGAAGGUUGGGUAACACUAACUGGAGGACCGAACCGACUAAUGUUGAAAAAUUAGCGGAUGACCUGUGGCUGGGGGUGAAAGGCCAAUCAAACCGGGAGAUAGCUGGUUCUCCCCGAAAGCUAUUUAGGUAGCGCCUCGUGAACUCAUCUUCGGGGGUAGAGCACUGUUUCGGCUAGGGGGCCAUCCCGGCUUACCAACCCGAUGCAAACUACGAAUACCGAAGAAUGUUAUCACGGGAGACACACGGCGGGUGCUAACGUCCGUCGUGAAGAGGGAAACAACCCAGACCGCCAGCUAAGGUCCCAAAGUCAUGGUUAAGUGGGAAACGAUGUGGGAAGGCACAGACAGCCAGGAUGUUGGCUUAGAAGCAGCCAUCAUUUAAAGAAAGCGUAAUAGCUCACUGGUCGAGUCGGCCUGCGCGGAAGAUGUAACGGGGCUAAACCAUGCACCGAAGCUGCGGCAGCGACACUAUGUGUUGUUGGGUA
rnacentral:rRNA from 1 species